rnacentral:rRNA from 1 species
AUUGAACGCUGGCGGAAUGCUUUACACAUGCAAGUCGAGCGGCAGCGCGGGGCAACCUGGCGGCGAGCGGCGAACGGGUGAGUAAUGUAUCGGAACGUAUCCUUAAGUGGGGGACAACUAGUCGAAAGACUAGCUAAUACCGCAUACGAUCGAGAGAUGAAAGUGGGGGACCGCAAGGCCUCACGCUUUUGGAGCGGCCGAUAUCCGAUUAGCUUGUUGGUGAGGUAAAGGCUUACCAAGGCUAUGAUCGGUAGCUGGUCUGAGAGGAUGAUCAGCCACACUGGGACUGAGACACGGCCCAGACUCCUACGGGAGGCAGCAGUGGGGAAUUUUGGACAAUGGGGGCAACCCUGAUCCAGCCAUUCCGCGUGAGUGAAGAAGGCCUC